CAGAGGGUGCGAGCGUUAAUCGGAAUUACUGGGCGUAAAGCGCGCGUAGGCGGCUUUUCAAGUCGAUUGUGAAAUCCCCGGGCUUAACCUGGGAACUGCAGUCGAGACUGUCUAGCUAGAGUAUGGGAGAGGGAAGUGGAAUUUCAGGUGUAGCGGUGAAAUGCGUAGAUAUCUGAAGGAACAUCAGUGGCGAAAGCGACUUCCUGGACCAAUACUGACGCUCAUGUGCGAAAGCGUGGGGAGCAAACAGGAUUAGAUACCCUGGUAGUCCACGCCAUAAACGAUGAGAACUGGAUGUCGGAGGGGUCUGCCCUUCGGUGUCGUAGCUAACGCGUUAAGUUCUCCGCCUGGGGAGGUACGGCCGCAAGGUUG
rnacentral:rRNA from 1 species